ensembl:lncRNA
UUUAUUUCUAUAUAUAUAUAUCAAACAAUAUUCAAAGUUUUUCAUGAUCCCAUACAAUCCAACAGUGAAAUAAUCUGCAUUGUUAUCUUCUCUAUGAAUAACUCUUGUAAAUACAAGCCUUAAUAUGCAUGAACGUUUUAAUUUCCAAACAAAUUACUUUUAAAAAACUAUUUCUUUAAACCCAAACCAUUCAAAAGAGUAAAUAUCCAGUUCCUGAAGCCUUCAGUUCCUCCUAUUUGGAUGAAAAGAUGGACGUUCAUUGUAUUUUACAUUCACUAAAAUGAUAACAGCGUAUGGUGCCACUGCACAAAUAUCCUUCCUUAAACUCGAAGGGCCUAAACAGAAUUGGUGUCACUCAUGGCAGAGCACGUUGGCCUGGGAUGCAUCCUCCUCAUGGAGGAAAGUGGGGGCACCAAGGGUUUCUGCAGGAGGAGCCCUCUGUGGAGUGGCCUCCCGGUUCAGGUCAAAAACUGUUUGCCUCAGUUUUGGGGCCCUGCUGAGUUACAGCCUCUAAAGCACUUAGCAGUGCUUGUCUCAGCAGCAGCACACACCAUAUGCUUUGGGAGCAUUUCCAAGCGGAAUAUUAUCCUCACUGCACUCCAGCAUGCUCGUUAAUGCUCCCAUUAUUCCAUUCGGUGGGACUAAUCCAAAGGCCCCCGAAGUUGUCAAAGCUGUCUUUAAGGUACUCCGGAUAAAACCUUGGGUUGCGCGAUUUAAGUCAUACUGAUGGAAUCAUUCUCAAAUCAUCAAUGAUAGUUUAUAUGCUGGUUUCUUUAUCUGAGCUACCUGUUCUCCUCCAUCUUUUGAAAAACAGUGAUGUGAAAUGGAAGAAGGAACAGAAGGGUUUGAAAUGCUGCUAUUUCUCUCUCUUUUUCUUUUUUCCCAGAGAGGGAAUGGAUUGCACAUAGAAAAGCAAUGUGCAACCAGCAACCGUACAAUGCUGGUUCAAAUUCAGAUGUAUGUACUGAUCAAGAUCUUUCCCCAAAUGUGUGAUCAGUUCAUGGGAAAGACCGGAGAUUUUAAAGUUGAUAUGGAUAAAGGAAAUGCUGGAUUAAGCUACUGUAGUUCUCUGUCAGUCCUGGUCGCUCCUUAUUGCUUUCUGGUCACAAAACACGUUUAAUAGAAAAAAUAUAUAUAUUGCAAAAUAACCUAUUACAUUUAAGAGGAGAAAAAUUGGACUUUGCCAGGAAGAAACCCUCCUCAGAUCCCAAUAUUUUACCAGCUGAUAGUAUUUCUUUACAUGCUGGAAAUUUUUCUUUUCAUUCCCAUUCAUUUUAACAGCGGGUUUUAAUUUUUCUUUUGGUAAAAACCAAAAAAAAAAAAAAAAAAGGAUGGGUGUGUGGGGACUGAGGGAGAAUGAAACGACAAACUGAGCAGAAGGAAGAUACUAUUUCAAAUGAGUGUUGUUCUGGUGGUGGGAGGGAGGCUAAGACCAAACAAGAAAGAAUGGCUGCGGAGGAUCUACUCGGGAUUCCACUGAUGUGCUAACAGCUGUUAUUACAGUAUCUGGCAUUUUGAAUUAAAUAUUGAUAGAAAUAAAUGAAAAAAGAGAUUGAGUAAACUGAAAUGUGUGUUCUGCCUUCCUAAGAGUACCAGACUCAACACCCUUUUAUACAAUUAAUAGCAUUAAACACCGGCAUCAGCUGACAGGAAAUAAGAAAGUUCCUAUGGCAACUAAAAAUAAGCACAGGAGGAAAAAUGCAUCAGAUGCUGUCAGCAGACAGCAUAAAAGGCAAAUAUAUGGAGAUAACAGCACAAAAGAAUAUACCUGUCUCGUAAACAACAUACAUGCUUGGAUGGCUUGUUUUUGUUGCUUUCUUCCAAACUAGGAACACUGCACCUUACUUAGAGAAUCUACUUAUGAACAGCUAAAUCACCUUGCAGACUGAGGCUCCUGGUUUAUGUGCUGUGCAACGUGCAAGCAGAGGCAAGGUGAGUGCACAGCUGUACUGCUGAGGGUACAGCUUAGCCACGUGUAAGCUGUCAUCUCAGUGGGAGAAAGAGUUUUAAGACCAUGUAACUCUUGAACUUCUUGGAUUACCUGCUUUUCCCAUCUAUCUGGUUUCUCCUACCUCUACUUCUCUCACAAGAAGCAAAGCCAAGCCUGCCCCACACCUGUGUGAUGUGGAGAAAGCUGCAUCAUUUUCCCUUCGCUCUUCGUGCUCUCAAGUUUCAAUUGCUCCUGCAGACCCUUCUGGGCUCUCUCUUCUGAGACAUCUUGGCCGUAAAGUACCUCUACAGACAUAAAAUCAUUUUUUUCUGUGUGAAGAUGUUGCUAUUUUCACAGUAAAAUACUCCUGCUGUGCAGUGCUGCACCUCCACACAGGACCCUUGUCACAGUGGCUGUGCCCUUGUGGCUCUGUCUGAUGCUUCAGAGGCAAGCCCGCAGCUCCCCAUGUCCUGGCCAGCUCAGGAAACUUGGCUGCUGAGCAGGAGAAGACAGCCCCACACACAGCAAAGGGAUGCAAAACAUUUCUAUUGCAACGAAAGAUGGAGUUGAUGAGUACCUUGCAGGACUGGGCCACCACUACUUCAAGGCUGAUGACACAUCCCGGGGACCUCGGGAAGAGCACCAAUGCAGUUUACUCAGUGACUUGCUAAAUAAAUAAGGAUUAAAUAAUUUCUAUAAAUGUAGCAGUCUCACUGGGAGCUCCUUGCCCGUGAUUGAUCUGAAAAUAACCAGAAACAUUUCAUUGGAUUAAUAAAUAAAAAAUAUCAGUUCAUUGCAACUUCAAAAUUGAGGGCGCAUUUCUUUUGGAUUGAGCACAUAGUUUUGUUCCUUGUUCCGUACGUUUCUAUUUCUUCAGUAAGUGUAAUUUGAAAGAGGAAGAGAAAUAUAUGACUGAUGCAUUAAGAUCAAUCGUGAUAGCUAAUUUAAUAUCCAAAAGGUUCCUCAGAUAUUCCGGGGAAGAAAAUGUAAGUGAAAAAUGCAGUAUUAUGGCUAGUACUCAUUUGCUGUAUUACAGUCAGACGUACACAGUAUCUUAAUUUUCCUCAUGAUUAUAAAUGGCUUUUAACUUUACUGGCAAGUCCAAGCUAUACCGCGGCGUUAGCGAUAACCAGGUUAUCUUGCAUGUGCAGCCUAGGAGCACAUGGCAGCAGGGUGUGUGAUGCACAUAAGUCACUGUCCAGAGCCCAGAACAGUGCAUAAAUAUUGUCUGCAGAGCACAAAGCAUAUUUUUAAUUUUAUGCUAUCGUAUGACAAGGAAAUGUUAAAAAUGUCUAGCAAGACAGUAUGAAACCUUCUUAUUGUAAGUCACAGGAUCACUCUGUGAGCUCCAAAUCCCAGGUCCACAUUAAUGUUCUUCAAACACAGGCAAGCAGGGGUGUGUCAUGCCCAGGAAUUUCCUGGUUACAAAGGAUACAGGAUGGAGGGGAAGCUGCCAGAAACCUCCUUUUUGUUGAAGGCUGUGGUGGUAAAGGAGGAUGAAGUCCUUCCAGGUUUAUGUCUGUAAACGAAAUGUUGAUGGUUUGAGCUUCAAAGAUGUUGGCUUGCCAAGUGAGAGGCAUGGACCAGAGGAGAUGAGCUAGGAAACCUUCAGCAGGGCAGGCUGGUCACUCAGAUGGGACCUGCACCUCGGGCUGCCCCUCCACAGCUCACAAAGAGGGACCAAAGGAGCUGCCCUGUCCACUUGGUUCUGCCUCUUGGUAUCCCUGCCUGUUGUUGUGGCCUUCUAAUUCACCACAUUAGAGAAAACAAAGUGACUGCACAGAGUAAAGGGUAAGCCUGACUUUUUCUCAGUUGUCAGCCUAUGUGCACGCAAAAGAUGCUAUGAAAGGAGGCUGCUUUGUGAAGAUGCAUCAAAGAGGGAUUUCUACUGUUUGUCACUGGAUUUCAUUUCAGUGCUAAAUCACAUCAACCUCAGCAAGAAGUCAGGAAAAAAUGGAAAACGUGUCGCUGCUGUCAUCCCAAGUUUUGUUUGCCUUUCUUUACAUUAAAGCUCUUAUUUCUGUAGGACUUUUGAGGCUGAUCUUGUUCUUGUCUCUUCUGGGUUUCAAGAAUAUAUUGUUACGUACUACGUCAAGUCUCAGUGUUGCUUGUAUUACAUCUACAUAUUGCAAAAUCAUGCAGUCUGAAUUAUGCUCCUAAGAAAGCUUAUUAGCAUCUAAAACCAUAAGUUUAUAAUUUUCAGUUUAGCCAUCAUGCAUUUUAAACAUAUAUAUAAUUAUUAUUAAUUUUUAUUAUUAUUGUUU